GACAGAGGGUGCAAACGUUGUUCGGAAUUACUGGGCGUAAAGCGGGUGUAGGCGGUGUGGUAAGUCGGAUGUGAAAGCCCCGGGCUCAACCCGGGGAAGUGCACUCGAUACUGCCACGCUAGAGUAUCGGAGAGGUUGGUGGAAUUCUCGGUGUAGAGGUGAAAAUUCGUAGAUAUCAGAGGAACACCGGUGGCGAAAGGCGGCCAACUGGACGAAUACUGACGCUUGA
rnacentral:rRNA from 1 species